AAAGAAAAACUUUAGAAAUCCAUACUCGAUAGGUCCAUCCAUAGGCACGCCCAAGUUCAAGUACUUCAGGGUGAAGCAAUGGUUUGUGUGCUAAGUGAAAUGGAGGUAUGCUUAGCAAGGAAAGGCGGUUAGGGCCACCUGUCAGAGAACCAACAUUUCUUGGUGGAAAAGAAAGUAGGCUUGUUAUGCGUAAGAGUAGUGCGCUUAGCGAG
rnacentral:lncRNA from 1 species